GAUGCCUUGGCAUGCACAGGCGAUGAAGGACGUGAUACGCUGCGAUAAGCGUCGGGGAGGUGCGAAUACCCUUUGAUCCGACGAUUUCCGAAUGGGGCAACCCACCUUAGAUGACUAGAAAAUCAGAUGUGUCGUUUAAGGCAAUAGGGCAAUACGGCAGUAGGGCAGUAUGUAAGAAACAUAUUGCCUUAUUGCCCUACUGACUUACUGCCUUUUGAGAACGGCGCAUGUGGUUUCUAGUCAUCAGAAAUAAGGUAUCUAACUCUGAAUACAUAGGGGUUAGAAGCGAACCUGGGGAACUGAAACAUCUAAGUACCCAGAGGAAAGGACAUCAAACGAGACUCCGCUAGUAGUGGCGAGCGAACGCGGACCAGGCCAGUGGCUUUUGUGAAUGAAGUGGAACGAGUUGGAAAACUCGACCGAAGUGGGUGAUAGUCCCGUACACGUAGAAUAGCAGAAGUCCUUGAGUAGGGCGGGACACGUGAAAUCCUGUCUGAACAUGGGUCGACCACGAUCCAAGCCUAAGUACUCGUGCAUGACCGAUAGCGAACCAGUACCGUGAGGGAAAGGUGAAAAGCACCCCGACGAGGGGAGUGAAACAGUACCUGAAACCGGAUGCCUACAAACAGUUGGAGCCCAAGGUUCGUCCUGGGUGACAGCGUACCUUUUGUAUAAUGGGUCAGCGACUUAGUGUAUCGAGCAAGCUUAAGCCGGUAGGUGUAGGCGCAGCGAAAGCGAGUCUGAACAGGGCGUUCAGUUCGAUGCAUUAGACCCGAAACCAAGUGAUCUAGCCAUGAGCAGGUUGAAGGUACGGUAACACGUACUGGAGGACCGAACCCAUAUCUGUUGCAAUAGAUCGGGAUGACUUGUGGCUAGGGGUGAAAGGCCAAUCAAACUUGGAGAUAGCUGGUUCUCCGCGAAAUCUAUUUAGGUAGAGCGUCGACCGAAUACCCCCGGGGGUAGAGCACUGGAUGGGCUAUGGGGACUCACCGUCUUACUGAUCCUAACCAAACUCCGAAUACCGGGGAGUACUAGUCGGCAGACACACGGCGGGUGCUAACGUCCGUCGUGGAGAGGGCAACAACCCUGACCACCAUCUAAGGUCCCUAAGUUAUGGCUAAGUGGGAAAGGAUGUGAGGAUCCCAAAACAACCAGGAUGUUGGCUUAGAAGCAGCCAUCAUUUAAAGAAAGCGUAACAGCUCACUGGUCUAAAUAAGGGUCUUUGCGCCGAAAAUGUACCGGGGCUCAAGCCAUACACCGAAGCUGUGGAUGCACGUAUGUGCGUGGUAGCGGAGCGUUCCGUAAGCCUGUGAAGGGACAGUCGUGAGACAUCCUGGAGGUAUCGGAAGUGAGAAUGCUGACAUGAGUAACGAUAAAGGGAGUGAGAGACUCCCUCGCCGAAAGUCCAAGGGUUCCUGCUUAAAGUUAAUCUGAGCAGGGUUAGCCGGCCCCUAAGGCGAGGCCGAAAGGCGUAGUCGAUGGGAACCACGUUAAUAUUCGUGGGCCUGCAGGUAGUGACGGAUCGCGUGUGUUGUACGUUCUUAUUGGAUUGAACGUGCAGCGAAGCGGUUCCAGGAAAUAGCUCCUGCAUAUAGACCGUACCCUAAACCGACACUGGUGGACUGGUAGAGAAUACCAAGGCGCUUGAGAGAACUGCGUUGAAGGAACUCGGCAAAAUGCACGCGUAACUUCGGAAGAAGCGUGACCCUCAUAUGGGCAACCAUGUGGGGGUGGCACAGACCAGGGGGUAGCGACUGUUUACCAAAAACACAGGGCUCUGCGAAGUCGCAAGACGACGUAUAGGGUCUGACGCCUGCCCGGUGCUGGAAGGUUAAGAGGAGAUGUGCAAGCAUUGAAU
rnacentral:rRNA from 1 species